CCUACGGGAGGCAGCAGUGGGGAAUAUUGGACAAUGGGCGAAAGCCUGAUCCAGCCAUGCCGCGUGUGUGAAGAAGGCCUUCGGGUUGUAAAGCACUUUCAGUGGGGAAGAAAGCCUUGGGGCUAAUACCCUCGAGGAAGGACAUCACCCACAGAAGAAGCACCGGCUAACUCCGUGCCAGCAGCCGCGGUAAUACGGAGGGUGCGAGCGUUAAUCGGAAUUACUGGGCGUAAAGCGCGCGUAGGCGGUCUGAUAAGCCGGUUGUGAAAGCCCCGGGCUCAACCUGGGAACGGCAUCCGGAACUGUCAGGCUAGAGUGCAGGAGAGGAAGGUAGAAUUCCCGGUGUAGCGGUGAAAUGCGUAGAGAUCGGGAGGAAUACCAGUGGCGAAGGCGGCCUUCUGGACUGACACUGAUGCUGAGGUGCGAAAGCGUGGGUAGCAAACAGGAUUAGAUACCCCUGUAGUC
rnacentral:rRNA from 1 species